UACGUAGGGUGCGAGCGUUGUCCGGAAUUAUUGGGCGUAAAGGGCGCGUAGGCGGCCUGCUAAGUCGGACGUGAAAUCCCUCGGCUCAACCGGGGAACUGCGUCCGAUACUGGUGGGCUCGAAUCCGGGAGAGGGAUGUGGAAUUCCAGGUGUAGCGGUGAAAUGCGUAGAUAUCUGGAGGAACACCGGUGGCGAAGGCGGGUCUCUGGGCCGAUACUGACGCUGAGGAGCGAAAGCGUGGGGAGCGAACAGG
rnacentral:rRNA from 1 species